rnacentral:rRNA from 1 species
AGUGAACGCUGGCGGUAGGCCUAACACAUGCAAGUCGAACGGAAGCAUAGUAAGAGCUUGCUCUUAGGGGCGGCGAGUGUCGGAAGGGUGAGGUAUACAUGGGAAUAUACUUAUUCGUGGGGGCUAACGUAGGGAAAUUUACGAUAAUAACGCAUACAUCCUACGGGGGUAAGCAGGCGUACUUCGGACCUGGUGCGAUUGAAAGAGCCGAUGUCGGAUUAGCUAGUUGGCGGGGUAAAGGCACUACCCGGCGACGCUGCGUAGCUGGUCUGAGAGGAAGAUCAGCCAGACUGGAACUGAGACACGGCCCAGACUCCUGCGGUGGGCCGCAGUGGAGAAUAUUGAACGAAGGGCGCAAGCCUGAUCCAGCCAUACCGCGUGGGUGAAGAAGGCCUUCGGGUUGUAAAGCGCUUAUGUUGGGAAAGAAAAACAGCAGGUUUAUACCCCACUGUUCUGACGGUACCCAAAGAAUAAGCACCGGCUAACUUCGUG